AUGAAAUGUUACUUCUCUUUCUCCUCUGCUUUAUUAUUGCAAAGUAGAAACAUUUCUCAGAAGCAGAGCAGCAGAGCGACAGUGUCGCUGCUGGAUGUGAAGAUGGGGCACACUUUGCUCUGUGUGCUGGGGUUAUUCUGUGAUGAUGCAAUCCUGGAAAUACCUGCAUUCACUUUGUUUGAAGGAGACUCAGUGACUCUGAGCUGUAGGUGUCGUAGCACCAGUGGCGUAUCCAGGACAUUUUUACUGGGGUGGCCAAGAUGGGACACAAAGCUAAUGUGGGGUGGCCAUGGCAUAGCGAAGUUUAAUGCGUAUACGUAUGCAGCCGACCACGGUUUGAAUCCUGGUCCUUUGCUGCGUGUCACAUCCCCUCUCUCUCCCAUAUCUUGUAACUGUCAAAUAAAGGUGUCUAUGCUGGUAAAAUAAUAUAUUUUUUAAAAAGUCAUUUUUUCACCUAUCACAGUCCUCAAGUAUCUCUGGUUAUUUUAACAUGUCUAUUUUUAAUCAGUAAUUAUGUUCAGGAUAG
rnacentral:lncRNA from 15 species